ACCACCUACACAGAGAUGCUAUAUACCACUAAAAGUAUGGUUCAAAUUAUAAUUGGCAACGAUUAUAUAUAUUGAACGAACUUGGAGAGAGAGAGAGAGAGAGAGAGAGAGAGAGAGAGAGCAAACACCAAACAGCAGGCGGUUGGUCAUUACAAACAUCACUUAAUGUCUUCAUUGUUGACCCAUAAUUACUGGUUUACACUCACUCCUUUCCGUUUAUUUCGCCUCGCUCACAACACCUGUCUGCAAGCCUUAAGCCCCGUUCACACUGUGCCGAUUCUGGACCACGACAACCCAGCGACUUUUCCAAUUGACAAGUUGGUUCCCACGCUCCAAGAAGGGGGGGGGGGGGGGAGGGGAGGUUUUAUUGGGGUCUUGGGGUCUUGCCGACUGUCUGGGAUAUUCGGCCAACUAAUUGCCGGCAUGUCGUGCUAACCCUCACGACUCCAGACUCCCGUCACGACGUCGGCGCAGCAUUCGGCAACAGUCUCAAGACCUCUUUUAAGAUAUACCCGACCCUUUCACAUCAACACCCAAGGCCUCGUGUACCCUAGAGUCGUGGGCAGUCGUGGCCCCGAGUCGGCACAGUGUGAACGGGGCUUUUAAUUGGGCCAUGUCUCCAAUCAAAGGGCUGAGAGGAAUGCCUAAGUUGCUAAUUAGGAAUCUUGAGUUUGCAAGGAAAAACUAAUAUUCGUGUUUCCUUCAUUGUGUAUGUGAUGACGAUGAUAAUAAUAGUAAUAAUAAUAAAGAUAAUAGUAUCGAUGUGUGUGUGUGUGUGUGUGUGUGUGUGUGUGUGUGUGUGUGUGUGUCGUCACGUGCCGCACGAAGGGGAAGGAAGCAGGAAGGAGAGGAGGGACGGAAGGAAGGAGGGAAGGAGGGAGGGGGCGAAGGAGAGGAGAGGGAAGACAGGAAGGAAGGAAAAGGUGGAGGGAGGGAAGGAGAACUGGGAAUGGAGAAUUAAGGAAAGAGGAACAAAGAAGAGAGGAGGAAAAGAAAAAUAUAUAUACUCCUAAUAUACUACCAGUGUGUUCCCUGUGAUAUAAGAACAUUGUACCCUUCCCUCCUCCUCCUCCUCCUCCUCCUCCUUCUUUGUUCGCUGCCUACUUUUGACAACGUUCCCCUGCUGGGUUUACUUAAGUGACCUUCAACAAACAGCCUUCGACGCAUGGCUCACUUGAACUUCUAACUCUUAAUUCUUUAGCCCGUCCGCUGCGAUUGGAACGAAUUUGGCUUGCACUGAUAGCCUGGUAACAUAUACUCCCAGGUCUUUCUCUGCCUCUGUGGUGGAUAGUGGAGUGUUUCCCAUGUGGUAUUGGUGUGCUGGAUAUCCCUUCACUGGUAGCCUGGUAACAUACACUCCCAGGUCUUUCUCUGCCUCUGUGGUGGAUAGUGGAGUGUUUCCCAUGUGGUAUUGGUGUGCUGGAUAUCCCUUCACUGGUAGCCUGGUAACAUAUGCUCCCAGGUCUUUCUCUGCCUCUGUGGUGGAUAGUGGAGUGUUUCCCAUGUGGUAUUGGUAUGCUGGAUAUCCCUUCACUGGUAGCCUGGUAACAUACACUCCCAGGUCUUCCUCUGCCUCUGUGGUGGAUAGUGGAGUGUUUCCCAUGUGGUAUUGGUAUGCUGGAUAUCCCUUCACUGGUAGCCUGGUAACAUACACUCCCAGGUCUUUCUCUGCCUCUGUGGUGGAUAGUGGAGUGUUUCCCAUGUGGUAUUGGUAUGCUGGAUAUCCCUUCACUGGUAGCCUGGUAACAUAUGCUCCCAGGUCUUUCUGUGCCUCUGUGGUGGGUAGUGGAGUGUUUCCCAUGUGGUAUUGGUGUGCUGGAUUUCCCCUCCCAAGAUUCAUGACCUCACAUUUUUCUUCACUAAAUUGAAGCAGCCACUUUUUGUUCCACUCCUGUAGCUUGGUGAUGUCUUCUUGUAGGAAAUCCGCA